UACGUAGGGGGCUAGCGUUGUCCGGAAUCAUUGGGCGUAAAGAGCGUGUAGGCGGCCCGGUAAGUCCGCUGUGAAAGUCGGGGGCUCAACCCUCGAAUGCCGGUGGAUACUGUCGGGCUAGAGUGCGGAAGAGGCGAGUGGAAUUCCUGGUGUAGCGGUGAAAUGCGCAGAUAUCAGGAAGAACACCCGUGGCGAAGGCGGCUCUCUGGGACGUGACUGACGCUGAGACGCGAAAGCGUGGGGAGCGAACAGG
rnacentral:rRNA from 1 species